rnacentral:rRNA from 1 species
UGGCUCAGGAUGAACGCUAGCUACAGGCUUAACACAUGCAAGUCGAGGGGCAGCAUUUCAGUUUGCUUGCAAACUGGAGAUGGCGACCGGCGCACGGGUGAGUAACACGUAUCCAACCUGCCGAUAACUCGGGGAUAGCCUUUCGAAAGAAAGAUUAAUACCCGAUGGCAUAAUUAGACCGCAUGGUCUUGUUAUUAAAGAAUUUCGGUUAUCGAUGGGGAUGCGUUCCAUUAGGCAGUUGGUGAGGUAACGGCUCACCAAACCUUCGAUGGAUAGGGGUUCUGAGAGGAAGGUCCCCCACAUUGGAACUGAGACACGGUCCAAACUCCUACGGGAGGCAGCAGUGAGGAAUAUUGGUCAAUGGGCGCAGGCCUGAACCAGCCAAGUAGCGUGAAGGAUGACUGCCCUAUGGGUUGUAAACUUCUUUUAUAUGGGAAUAAAGUUUUCCACGUGUGGAAUUUUGUAUGUACCAUAUGAAUAAGGAUCGGCUAACUCCGUGCCAGCAGCCGCGGUAAUACGGAGGAUCCGAGCGUUAUCCGGAUUUAUUGGGUUUAAAGGGAGCGUAGGUGGACAGUUAAGUCAGUUGUGAAAGUUUGCGGCUCAACCGUAAAAUUGCAGUUGAUACUGGCUGUCUUGAGUACAGUAGAGGUGGGCGGAAUUCGUGGUGUAGCGGUGAAAUGCUUAGAUAUCACGAAGAACUCCGAUUGCGAAGGCAGCUCACUGGACUGCAACUGACACUGAUGCUCGAAAGUGUGGGUAUCAAACAGGAUUAGAUACCCUGGUAGUCCACACAGUAAACGAUGAAUACUCGCUGUUUGCGAUAUACAGUAAGCGGCCAAGCGAAAGCAUUAAGUAUUCCACCUGGGGAGUACGCCGGCAACGGUGAAACUCAAAGGAAUUGACGGGGGCCCGCACAAGCGGAGGAACAUGUGGUUUAAUUCGAUGAUACGCGAGGAACCUUACCCGGGCUUAAAUUGCAUUUGAAUAUAUUGGAAACAGUAUAGCCGUAAGGCAAAUGUGAAGGUGCUGCAUGGUUGUCGUCAGCUCGUGCCGUGAGGUGUCGGCUUAAGUGCCAUAACGAGCGCAACCCUUAUCUUUAGUUACUAACAGGUCAUGCUGAGGACUCUAGAGAGACUGCCGUCGUAAGAUGUGAGGAAGGUGGGGAUGACGUCAAAUCAGCACGGCCCUUACGUCCGGGGCUACACACGUGUUACAAUGGGGGGUACAGAAGGCAGCUACCUGGUGACAGGAUGCUAAUCCCAAAAGCCUCUCUCAGUUCGGAUCGAAGUCUGCAACCCGACUUCGUGAAGCUGGAUUCGCUAGUAAUCGCGCAUCAGCCAUGGCGCGGUGAAUACGUUCCCGGGCCUUG